rnacentral:rRNA from 1 species
AAGGCGAGGCCGAAAGGCGUAGUCGAUGGGAAACAGGUUAAUAUUCCUGUACUUGGUGUUACUGCGAAGGGGGGACGGAGAAGGCUAUGUUGGCCGGGCGACGGUUGUCCCGGUUUAAGCGUGUAGGCUGGUUUUCCAGGCAAAUCCGGAAAAUCAAGGCUGAGGCGUGAUGACGAGGCACUACGGUGCUGAAGCAACAAAUGCCCUGCUUCCAGGAAAAGCCUCUAAGCAUCAGGUAACAUCAAAUCGUACCCCAAACCGACACAGGUGGUCAGGUAGAGAAUACCAAGGCGCUUGAGAGAACUCGGGUGAAGGAACUAGGCAAAAUGGUGCCGUAACUUCGGGAGAAGGCACGCUGAUAUGUAGGUGAAGCGACUUGCUCGUGGAGCUGAAAUCAGUCGAAGAUACCAGCUGGCUGCAACUGUUUAUUAAAAACACAGCACUGUGCAAACACGAAAGUGGACGUAUACGGUGUGACGCCUGCCCGGUGCCGGAAGGUUAAUUGAUGGGGUUAGCGCAAGCGAAGCUCUUGAUCGAAGCCCCGGUAAACGGCGGCCGUAACUAUAACGGUCCUAAGGUAGCGAAAUUCCUUGUCGGGUAAGUUCCGACCUGCACGAAUGGCGUAAUGAUGGCCAGGCUGUCUCCACCCGAGACUCAGUGAAAUUGAACUCGCUGUGAAGAUGCAGUGUACCCGCGGCAAGACGGAAAGACCCCGUGAACCUUUACUAUAGCUUGACACUGAACAUUGAGCCUUGAUGUGUAGGAUAGGUGGGAGGCUUAGAAGUGUGGACGCCAGUCUGCAUGGAGCCGACCUUGAAAUACCACCCUUUAAUGUUUGAUGUUCUAACGUUGACCCGUAAUCCGGGUUGCGGACAGUGUCUGGUGGGUAGUUUGACUGGGGCGGUCUCCUCCUAAAGAGUAACGGAGGAGCACGAAGGUUGGCUAAUCCUGGUCGGACAUCAGGAGGUUAGUGCAAUGGCAUAAGC